GUGUGCGUGUGUGUGUAAAGGCUGUUUUAUGGUUCUGCAGAGGCUCCACGCAGAGCUUUCGCUGUAGCCUAAGUAAGUGGCCUGAUGUUUAUACUUAGGUGCACGUCGUACUACGGCGUAGGGUCCGGCAUAGACACAAAGGG